rnacentral:tRNA from 1 species
CCUGGUGGCUUAGACGGUAAAGUGUCUGCAUACAAUUCAGGAGACCCAGGUUCAAUCCCUGGGUCAGGA